ensembl:lncRNA
AGCUCCUGUAAACACCGGCUGUAGAAGGUCGCCAUAAUAAACUCAGCUUAUUGAGCAGCGGACGACCGGAAGCCAAGACCACUGUUUUGUAGAACCCGGAAGAAUGUUGCGCAUAAGGCCUAUUGAAGCUUCGAGCAUGAACCACUUUGGUGGUUCAUCUGGCUGAGAGGCUUUGACGUUUCAUGAGGCAUCAUCUAGGCACCACUAGUAGCGGGUGAGACAGCCACCACGCACCAUGCGACAAGCAGACUAUGCUCUGGUCAGCGGCGGUAAACGACCCCAAUAUAUUGCCCCGAUUGCGAUGAGGAUCUCGGCAGAUCUGUGCUCUGAGGUGAGCGGCAAAGGCAACGACCCAGAAGUGGAGAGAGUUCAGGAGGAAGGGCACGGCCUAUUUUUAUCCACUCGACAAACAAUGAUUGGCGAACGAGCCGGAGAGGGCGUGGUGAAACAGAAGCCUGUGUCUAAUGCUGCUAUCCAUGUGGAUGUACGAGGUCGCAAAUCUCCCAGCUUUCUUGCGGCAUUUCACUGAGGCACGCCCCCUUUCGGUCGUAGUAUCUCGUCGCUUUCAAAGUAGAGCGAGCAGAUCUGUACAACUAGCAAAGAAGAUGGCUGCGCCCGUAGUCAAUGGGGAUUGAGCUGUAUUUUCUUUGUAUUUGUACCACGUUGGGUUUUCUUCCCAAACUCGUCGGACACAAAUGGCAAACUGGAAGGCUGGAGCAAGGGAAAUACGUCAGGUUCUCGCUGAAGCUGGUCGUUCGUACCAGCCUACCAUCAAAAUGGAUAGCAGCAGCAGUGUUGCCUCAUACCACUACACUUAUAAAGCUUUCCCACAACUCCUGAACUGUUUCUACAACACUGAUUCUGCCUGUUUCUGAACCCUCGCCUGUCUGACCACCCGCCCAUUGUCGAGUCCCUGCCGGCCUGUCUGCUUCCCUGUUUCCUGCCCCUCGCCUGCCUGUCUGCCCUCCCGUUGCCGAUCCCUCACUUGCUGACCUACCAACGAUUCCCUGCCCACUUGUCGGUGACUUUACUGUUUGCUCUCUGCCUGCCCGAUCCUGUACCGAAUUAAAUCCUUGAAACUGUCCUCAGCUGUUGUCUGUCCAUGCACUUGGGUUCUGCCUAACCCUCCC